rnacentral:rRNA from 1 species
AACGAACGCUGGCGGCAUGCCUAACACAUGCAAGUCGAACGAGACCUUCGGGUCUAGUGGCGCACGGGUGCGUAACGCGUGGGAACCUGCCCUUAGGUUCGGAAUAACUCCCCGAAAGGGGUGCUAAUACCGGAUAAUGUCUUCGGACCAAAGAUUUAUCGCCUUUGGAUGGGCCCGCGUUGGAUUAGCUAGUUGUUAGGGUAAAAGCCUACCAAGGCGACGAUCCAUAGCUGGUCUGAGAGGAUGAUCAGCCACACUGGGACUGAGACACGGCCCAGACUCCUACGGGAGGCAGCAGUGGGGAAUAUUGGACAAUGGGCGAAAGCCUGAUCCAGCAAUGCCGCGUGAGUGAUGAAGGCCUUAGGGUUGUAAAGCUCUUUUACCCGGGAUGAUAAUGACAGUACCGGGAGAAUAAGCGCCGGCUAACUCCGUG